rnacentral:rRNA from 1 species
UACGAAGGGGGCGAGCGUUAUUCGGAAUCACUGGGCGUAAAGCGUGCGUAGGCUGUUCAGCAAGUCAGAAGUGAAAGCCCAAGGCUUAACCUUGGAAGCGCUUUUGAAACUGCUGGACUUGAAUUUGGGAGAGGAUAGCGGAAUUCUCAGUGUAGCAGUGAAAUGCGUAGAUAUUGAGAGGAACACCAGUGGCGCAAGCGGCUAUCUGGACCAACAUUGACGCUGAGGCACGAAAGCGUGGGGAUCAAACAGG